rnacentral:rRNA from 1 species
GACGAACGCUGGCGGCGUGCUUAACACAUGCAAGUCGAACGGAAAGGCCCUGCUUUUGUGGGGUGCUCGAGUGGCGAACGGGUGAGUAACACGUGAGUAACCUGCCCUUGACUUUGGGAUAACUUCAGGAAACUGGGGCUAAUACCGGAUAGGAGCUCCUGCUGCAUGGUGGGGGUUGGAAAGUUUCGGCGGUUGGGGAUGGACUCGCGGCUUAUCAGCUUGUUGGUGGGGUAGUGGCUUACCAAGGCUUUGACGGGUAGCCGGCCUGAGAGGGUGACCGGCCACAUUGGGACUGAGAUACGGCCCAGACUCCUACGGGAGGCAGCAGUGGGGAAUAUUGCACAAUGGGCGGAAGCCUGAUGCAGCAACGCCGCGUGCGGGAUGACGGCCUUCGGGUUGUAAACCGCUUUCGCCUGUGACGAAGCGUGAGUGACGGUAAUGGGUAAAGAAGCACCGGCUAACUACGUGCCAGCAGCCGCGGUGAUACGUAGGGUGCGAGCGUUGUCCGGAUUUAUUGGGCGUAAAGGGCUCGUAGGUGGUUGAUCGCGUCGGAAGUGUAAUCUUGGGGCUUAACCCUGAGCGUGCUUUCGAUACGGGUUGACUUGAGGAAGGUAGGGGAGAAUGGAAUUCCUGGUGGAGCGGUGGAAUGCGCAGAUAUCAGGAGGAACACCAGUGGCGAAGGCGGUUCUCUGGGCCUUUCCUGACGCUGAGGAGCGAAAGCGUGGGGAGCGAACAGGCUUAGAUACCCUGGUAGUCCACGCUGUAAACGGUGGGUACUAGGUGUGGGGUCCAUUCCACGGGUUCCGUGCCGUAGCUAACGCUUUAAGUACCCCGCCUGGGGAGUACGGCCGCAAGGCUAAAACUCAAAGGAAUUGACGGGGCCCCGCACAAGCGGCGGAGCAUGCGGAUUAAUUCGAUGCAACGCGUAGAACCUUACCUGGGUUUGACAUGGAUCGGGAGCGCUCAGAGAUGGGUGUGCCUCUUUUGGGGUCGGUUCACAGGUGGUGCAUGGCUGUCGUCAGCUCGUGUCGUGAGAUGUUGGGUUAAGUCCCGCAACGAGCGCAACCCUUGUUCACUGUUGCCAGCACGUUAUGGUGGGGACUCAGUAGAGACCGCCGGGGUCAACUCGGAGGAAGGUGGGGAUGACGUCAAGUCAUCAUGCCCCUUAUGUCCAGGGCUUCACGCAUGCUACAAUGGCUGGUACAGAGAGUGGCGAGCCUGUGAGGGUGAGCGAAUCUCGGAAAGCCGGUCUCAGUUCGGAUUGGGGUCUGCAACUCGACCUCAUGAAGUCGGAGUCGCUAGUAAUCGCAGAUCAGCAACGCUGCGGUGAAUACGUUCCCGGG